CCCAGGAAAGGUGGAGACGUAAACCCAGGAAAGGUGGAGACGUAAACCCAGGAAAGGUGGAGACGUAAACCCAGGAAAGGUGGAGACGUAAACCCAGAAGGUGGAGACCCAGAAGGUGUGAGACGUAAACCCAGGAAAGGUGGAGACGUAAACUCAGAAGGUGGAGACCCAGAAGGUGGAGACGUAAACCCAGAAGGUGGAGA